GUCUACCAUCCAUAGCUCAGUUGGUUAGAGCACGGUGCUGAUAACACCAAGGUUGCAGGUCUGACCCCCAUAUGAGACA